CCUACGUGGAUUUCAAAACUUAAUAGUAUAUUUAAGAUUUAAACGGAAUAACGACAGCACAUUUCAGUUUUAUAAAUCAGAGAAUUUAAAUGAAUAUAUACAACUUACAAAAAAAAAAUGUUAAUUCUAAAGUUUGUUAACUAACAUGUCAAUGGAGGUUACAGGAAAAAUGUUUUGUAAGCCUUGCGGAGAUGGCAAUAAACGUGUACCUGCAAAUGGUCUAUGUCGCGAUUGUGAGGAACAUAUGUCUAUAGCGUGUUUCGGAAACCACAAGAAAUACAAAAUAUGUAAAGAUCACAGACUAGGUUGAUAUUGAUACAAAAGUUCUAGACAUUAGUGAGGCAACAGUAAGAAAAGUUCGAAAACUUGUCUGAAGCACAAAAAUGAAAAAAUAAAAUUUUAUUGUUCAAGCCACUGAAGAAGUAGGCUGCUGGUGACUGUACGAUAUUAGAACACAAAACGUGUAAGGUUGAAUAUAUACGUGAUGUAUCCAAAACGUUUAAGGAGAGUAAGGAAUUUCACGACAUUGUCAAAGAUGUUGAUUCUUGUCAGAAAGAAGUGACCAAAUUCUAUACAUCAUUCACUGAUAAUAAGGUACAAGGUUGAAGAUAUAUAUCAGGGAUUUCUUGCCGAUAUUAAAUCAUUCCGAGAUGAAAUAAAUAAUCCGUCUAGAUAAACUGGAAGAAGAAUUGGUUCAAAAAGCAAAAGAUGCUAAAACAACCGAUACGCUUUUAAUUGAAUCACUUGAAACAUCAUGCGAAGAUCUAAAAAAGGAGUUAUCGCAAAUAAGUGAUGAACUUGCUGUCUAGAACUGACGAACCAAACACAUUAUUUGUCACUGCAAUGCGGUGUAAGCGUGUGUUAAAGGGAAUUAAGCAUAAACUCUGUAGUGCCAUUCUAAAUAACUACAGUUAGCAAUUACCGUUUCAAAAGAAACAAUAAAAUUGAAGAAGUAUUGGAACAGGUUGAACUUGGGACUAUAGUUUCAAUGCACGAAGAAAACACACCGGAACUGGAUUCUCUAGAUUACUGAGGAACCUAUUACGUUACAAGCAGAACUAGGAACCAGCAGCAGUACAAUAUACGAAGACAAUAUAUCAAUACCAGAUUCCCAAGAAUAUGACGAGGUAUUUUAUGAAGAUAUUCCAGUGAGAGAAAGUCUCCAUAAAAGAAGAUCAAAAGGUCGAACGUCUUGGUCCUUAUUUGAAAGCCAGCUUAGAUGUGAAAACCUUCUUAUGGCUGGAGAGUACCUCAGUUUCAAAGACAUCAGACAAGGAGAUAUUGGCUUAUAUGUCGGGAAAAGGGCCAUUAAAACUGGCACAUACUUUGAAGUUGAGGUAAUAAACAGCGAUGACAGAGGCAAUAUUGCCAUAGGUUUUGUACCGAAGGGAAAUUCAUUAAAAGAACAGCCCUGGAGAUGGAUUAUUCUCAGUAGGAUAUCAUGCUAAAGACGGAUGCAUACAUGACCAGAGCACAACAAGGGAACGCAUAAGUCCUCCCAGUAAAGCUGGUGACGUCAUCGGUGUCGGCGUAUCGUCUUACUUAUCGAAUGUGUUCAGGACAAAAAUAGAUAUUUUCUUCACCAGAAACCGCCAAAAGAUACGCGUACUAGAGAUAAACAAUCCACCGUUUUGCAAAGUGUACCCAGCAGUGGGACUGAAAGCUUCUGGUGACAAAGCAAGAGUAAUUCUUGACGCGGUAGAACCAUAAACUAGGCCACAUAAUACAAGUUGUGCGAAGUAUUACCAAUUUCCAUACUCAGGGAGGAAUUCGGCUGAAGUUGAAGUAUAUACGCUAAAGAGACGUGAAGAACUAAUGGCAUGCAUAUUUCUUUAUUGAAUUAUCAACAAUAAUUAUUGUUAAAGUCGUAGACAUGUGCUGGACAGCUUAUUCAUUCAUAUGUCAUGUCAAAGUAGCGUAAUUGCUUGCUUCUAGGACAGAAGUGGCAGAGUAUCUGCUCUCGCAGCAAGUGAAACUGAGGUUAUGCUAACGAGGAAGGCAGGACAACUUAUUUACAGAUCGAACAUUUAUUUAUACAAUUUGUAAAAAAGACAACAUUUUUGUUCGUUUUUAAAGAUAUCCUGUGGCUAAAAUAAUUUAUAUUUAGAUAUUUACUUCAAAUGUAGAAAUUCCUCAUCAAAUAUAUAUAACUUUACUAAAUAUAUAAAUUAAAUAUAUAAAUUAAUUGGUUAUGUAGAGCUUCAUUCAUAAUUCAAUGUCAGUUUUUAAGUGGUAGUACACAUUUAUACUGUGUUCCGCUAUAUAUGUAAACAGUGUAUACUGUUUUCAACCUAAUGCUUAGCACUGUCAAUAUACGUAAACUUGGCUAUUUUAUGUUUACAUAAAAUAUACGUAGUAUUUUCGCUCAUGUUUUCCAAUAUGAUAUAUGGGUCAAGUAUAUCUUUAACAUUCAUUAAUUGUAUUUGAUCCAUAGAGGAUAUUCAAGUUGGUUUUCAUAAAUGAAGUUUUAUCACAAUUUUCAUUUACCAAUAUGACAGCUCCUAAAUUUGAUGUGUGUAAAUUUGACAUGGCAACUGGAGAAUAACAAACUGGGUAAUGCGUAUAAAUUGAAUUAUUUCUGGCGUCAAUUCUUUAUGUUCAUGCGUGUAAAUUGCAUUAUUGCAAGUGCGCAAUUACUAGUUACAAAUAGCAUUGAAUUUCACUGAAAAUUCAAAAUAUCUGUUUCGAACAUUUUAUUUCUUUCUGUCGUAUUUCUGUGUUAGAGUUUUCCAAUGUGUUAUUUCUUUUCAUUCUAAUCACAUAUUUAACUUGCAAAAUAGACCUUACAAAACAGCAAAUACCGGUUCCCUUUAACUUUUGUGGGUGCAGCGUUUGCAUUAUUAUGAAUCUUGAUUAAAGUGAAAUUUGCGCAGUUUCAAAGGUAUGGUUACUUUAACAACGAUAGAAGUGAGCCCGAUCUAGAUAAUUCGGUACGAUUUCUAGGCUUUGUUCAAGAAGUCAAAACUUCGUUGUCACAAAUGAAACUAAAUUGAGAACAAGUUUCCAAUCAGGGUCGAACCAGACUAUCAGGUCCAACAUCAUAGGUCAGAGGCCAGUAAUAUUCUCAAUAUAUGAUUUUUUCUCGGUAGUCAUGGUCGAUUCAGGAAUCUAAACGACUAUGUUAAUUAAGUCAAACUUUGGGUCGAACCAGAAGGCUUUGUCAGAACCAUUACCCUACUUCACACGACAGGUUUGGUAACCUUAUGAGACCCAACGAGCUGUGAAGACAUUCUGUUGACUCCUAAGUGGUCUAAAUAUAGAGUAAAGAGAUCUAAGAACACGUAUACAUUAAAUAUAGAUAUAUAGGAUGAAGUGAGUCAAAACAUUUAAAUCUAACAGAGCGUCUUAAUUAACAGAAAUCGACUUUAAACUACCAUAUUCAUUCGUGAUCAUUUUCACAUAUGUACGUGGAACUCGUGUUGAAAUUCAUGUUUUACCAAAUCCAUAGCAUGUUACAUACAACUGUUGUCAACUACGAAUUCAUGUAUCACGAUUCCCCUAAAAUUGCCAAGAUUUUUUCUAAAUUUUAUAUCCUAUUUAUUAAACUCGUUUUCUGAUCAAAAGUAGGCGUAUCCCAAUCUCAUGUUUGAUGCUGCAUUAUCAUUCUACAAAACCAGUCACCAUUUACUUAUUUUGGUACGAGGGAGUCACCGAAAGUAAACCAGACAGACUGUUAUGUAAGAAACCUCGUGUGACAUCAAUACGUCAACGUUUCUAAUUACGUCAACGUUACCUACGAAAGCGUUUUGCGACGUAACAAUCAACUCAGACCUUUCACUUGAAAUUCCUGGUCUAUAUGCUUACCAUUUAACAACGUGUUGGAUAUUUCUGUCCAGCUAUUGAAUAUCUGCAUAUCCGAAUAAAAUCAGUCAGAGUUUCAUGAGCGAUAGUCUAGUAGCACAGAAAAAAAAAACAACGCUGGUACCAGAACUGAUAAAUAUACACAUUAUCACAAGAUUCUUACUGGAAUGAAUUCUUUCAUUGGUAAGAAGUAGCGUUGAGUGAAUGUCGUAGUAAUAGGGGCUUCUAUCGACUUAAAGACCUUUCAGAUAAGGUCAAAAUAGUAAUAUUUUCUACCUUCAAACACUUCCCAGUCGAUGACAUGCCCUGGUCACUAGAUCUAACACAGGUACUUGAACAUCAUCUCCAACGGUGAAAUUGGUCUGCACCUAUAAAUUGAUAUAAUUUCUAUUUUUCCACUUUAAUCAUUUCAUCAAACUUCCGUACUAGCUCUGAUUACUGAGGAGAGGAGAAAAAGUUUGAAUGGCCUCGUGAGUAGACUUCCUCUCGUCCCUAUGUUUGUUCUGUCAUAAGUUUCUUCAUUAACAGAGGAAGUAACUCCAGCAGAGUAUUUCUAUAUUAACUUUUUUAUUGCCCCUGACUCCGAACACAGGUUUAGCCAUCAGAAAAAGUGUUAUUUUAGAGGCUUAGAAUUUACUUUAGAAAAUAUUUGCAGUAUUAAAAAAGUAACCACGCAGCCAGGAAGCCAGGCUACCUCAUGAAUUUUCUCCUAUGAACAAGUACUCUUUCACAAACGAUAUAGGUGUGCAGUGAACUUAAUAAAUUAUUUGAUUUAGUAUUGGCUAUAACAGUGAUAGAAAUAACACAGAUUGUUUUGUUCUGUUUAUGAGGAGAUCUCCGUCAAUAUAUUUGUUUGACAUAUAAAUUUAUUCUUUUUUGGCGACGCCGUCUAAAUUCGUUUUCGUUACCUAUGCCAAGUGACUUCAGUUUGCAAAUCAAACUACUUU
rnacentral:lncRNA from 1 species